UACGUAGGGUGCGAGCGUUAAUCGGAAUUACUGGGCGUAAAGCGUGCGCAGGCGGUUCUGAAAGUCAGCUGUGAAAGCCCCCGGGCUUAACCUGGGAAUGGCGGUUGAAACUACAGGACUAGAAUCUGGCAGAGGGGGGUGGAAUUCCACGUGUAGCAGUGAAAUGCGUAGAGAUGUGGAGGAACACCGAUGGCGAAGGCAGCCCCCCUGGGCUGAGAUUGACGCUCAGGCACGAAAGCGUGGGGAGCAAACAGG
rnacentral:rRNA from 1 species